GACGAACGCUGGCGGCGUGCCUAAUACAUGCAAGUAGAACGCACAGUUUAUACCGUAGCUUGCUACACCAUAGACUGUGAGUUGCGAACGGGUGAGUAACGCGUAGGUAACCUGCCUGGUAGCGGGGGAUAACUAUUGGAAACGAUAGCUAAUACCGCAUAAUAUUGAUUAUUGCAUGAUAAUUGAUUGAAAGAUGCUAUUGCAUCACUACCAGAUGGACCUGCGUUGUAUUAGCUAGUAGGUGAGGUAACGGCUCACCUAGGCGACGAUACAUAGCCGACCUGAGAGGGUGAUCGGCCACACUGGGACUGGGACACGGCCCAGACUCCUACGGGAGGCAGCAGUAGGGAAUCUUCGGCAAUGGACGAAAGUCUGACCGAGCAACGCCGCGUGAGUGAAGAAGGUUUUCGGAUCGUAAAGCUCUGUUGUAAGAGAAGAACGGGUGUGAGAGUGGAAAGUUCACACUGUGACGGUAGCUUACCAGAAAGGGACGGCUAACUACGUG
rnacentral:rRNA from 1 species